UACGGAGGGUGCAAGCGUUAUCCGGAUUCACUGGGUUUAAAGGGUGCGUAGGUGGGUUGGUAAGUCAGUGGUGAAAUCCCCGAGCUUAACUUGGGAACUGCCAUUGAUACUAUCAGUCUUGAAUACCGUGGAGGUCAGUGGAAUAUGUCAUGUAGCGGUGAAAUGCUUAGAUAUGACAUAGAACACCAAUUGCGAAGGCAGCUGGCUACACGAAUA
rnacentral:rRNA from 1 species